GUAGACCUGAAAUCAGUCGAGGGUACCCGCUGAAUUUAAGCAUAUUAUUAAGCGGAGGAAGAGAAAAUAACUAUGAUUCCCUUAGUAACGGCGAGUGAAGAGGGAGGUGCUCAAAGUGAUAAUCGUGAUACCUCUUAUGGUACCUCGAGUUGUAGCCUCUAGAGGCGUACCAGUGGAAAGGGCAGGUCCAAGUUUCUUGGAACAGAACUUCAGAGAGG
rnacentral:rRNA from 1 species